CCAAACUUGGUCAUUUAGAGGAAGUAAAAGUCGUAACAAGGUCUCCGUUGGUGAACCAGCGGAGGGAUCAUUACAGAGUGUAAAAACUCCCAAAACCCAUGUGAACAUACCUUUUUGUUGCUUCGGCGAGAUUGCCCCGGGCGCCUUGCGUGCCCCGGAGUCAGGCGCUCGCCGGGGGACCCUAAACUCUUGUUUUUAACGAGUAUAUUCUGAGUAACGUUUUUAAAAAUAAAUAAAAACUUUCAACAACGGAUCUCUUGGUUCUGGCAUCGAUGAAGAACGCGAUGAAGAACGCAGC
rnacentral:misc_RNA from 1 species